rnacentral:rRNA from 1 species
AAUCGAACCCGGAGAUAGCUGGUUCUCCCCGAAAUAGCUUUAGGGCUAGCGUCGCAGCGAGAGAGCCGUGAAGGUAGAGCACUGAAUAUGCGAUGGCCGCAUCCCGCGGUACUGAGCAUAAUCAAACUCCGAAUGUCACGGUGUCAUCUGCGGCAGUCAGACGGCGAGUGAUAAGGUCCGUCGUCAAGAGGGAAACAGCCCAGACCAUCAGCUAAGGUCCCAAAGUGCAUGCUAAGUGGAAAAGGAAGUGGAGACGUGCAGACAACUAGGAGGUUGGCUCAGAAGCAGCCAUCCUUCAAAGAGUGCGUAACAGCUCACUAGUCGAAUGACUCUGCGCCGAUAAUUUACCGGGGCUAAGCAUGACACCGAAGCUAUGGACAGGAAUGUGGUAGGGGAGCAUUGCAUGCAGCGGAGAAGCAUGACCGAGAGGGCAUGUGGAGCGCAUGGAAGAGAGAAUGCCGGCGUGAGUAGCGGCACGUGGGUGAGAAUCCCACGCACCGAUGGCCCAAGGUCUCCAGAGGAAGGCUCGUCCUCUCUGGGAUAGUCGGGACCUAAGGCGAGGCCGAAAGGCGUAGCCGAUGGACGACGGGUGGAUAUUCCCGUACCCGAUGUGUGGCGAUGGAGUGACGGAGAAGGCUCAGGCAACCAGCUGCUGGAAUAGCUGGGGCAAGCGAGAUACCUGCGCAUCAGGGAAAUCCGGUGCGCAUAAGGGGAAGGCGCGAUGCAUACGGAAAGCUUCGGCAAGUACGGAAAAGCUGAGAGCAGGCUUCCAGGAAAAGCUUCUAGCACAACACACAUCGGCCCGUACCGAAAAUGGACACACAUGGGCAAGGAGAGAAUCCUGAGGUGAGCGAGAGAACUAUAGCUAAGGAACUCUGCAAAAUGACCCCGUAACCUAGGGAGAAGGGGUGCUCCAGAAAUGGAGCCGCAGUAAAACGGCCCAAGCGACUGUUUACCAAAAACACAGCUCUCUGCGAAGGCGCAAGCCGAAGUAUAGGGGGUGACGCCUGCCCGGUGCUGGAAGGUCAAGGGGAGCUGUCAGCGCAAGCGAAGCAGCGAGCCGAAGCCCCAGUAAACGGCGGCCGUAACUAUAACGGUCCUAAGGUAGCGAAAUUCCUUGUCGGGCAAGUUCCGACCCGCACGAAAGGCGUAACGAUUUGGGCGCUGUCUCAGCUGUAGACUCGGUGAAGUCUUAGUACCUGUGAAGAUGCAGGUUGCCCGCGACUAGACGGAAAGACCCCAUGGAGCUUCACUGCAGGUUGACAUUGGGCUUGGAUGCAUGAUGUACAGGAUAGGUGGGAGGCUGUGAGCCGUGCGCGCCAGCGUACGGGGAGCCGCUGUUGGGAUACCACCCUUCAUGCAUCUAGGUCCUAACCGGAGGCAACGGGCCACGGGACAGUGUCAGUCGGGCAGUUUGACUGGGGCGGUCGCCUCCCAAAGAGUAACGGAGGCGCCCAAAGAUACCCUCAGCAUGGAUGGAAACCAUGCAUAGAGUGCAAAGGCAUAAGGGUGUCUGACUGCGAGACAUACAGGUCGAGCAGGGACGAAAGUCGGGCUUAGUGAUCCGGCGGAUCCGAAUGGAAGGGCCGUCGCUCAACGGAUAAAAGCUACCCUGGGGAUAACAGGCUGAUCUCCCCCAAGAGUUCACAUCGACGGGGAGGUUUGGCACCUCGAUGUCGGCUCAUCGCAUCCUGGAGCUGAAGUCGGUUCCAAGGGUUGGGCUGUUCGCCCAUUAAAGCGGUACGCGAGCUGGGUUCAGAACGUCGUGAGACAGUUCGGUCCCUAUCUGUCGUGGGCGCAGGAGGUUUGAGGAGAGCUGCCCCUAGUACGAGAGGACCGGGGUGGACGGACCGAUGGUGCACCAGUUGUCACGCCAGUGGCACAGCUGGGCAGCCAAGUCCGGACGGGAUAAGCGCUGAAGGCAUCUAAGCGUGAAGCCCCCUCCAAGAUGAGACCUCCCAUUGG